rnacentral:rRNA from 1 species
ACGUAGGGUGCGAGCGUUAAUCGGAAUUACUGGGCGUAAAGCGCGCGUAGGCGGCUUUGCAAGCCGGAUGUGAAAUCCCCGGGCUUAACCUGGGAACUGCAUUCGGGACUGCAUUGCUAGAGUAUGGGAGAGGGAAGUGGAAUUUCAGGUGUAGCGGUGAAAUGCGUAGAUAUCUGAAGGAACAUCAGUGGCGAAAGCGACUUCCUGGACCAAUACUGACGCUCAUGUGCGAAAGCGUGGGGAGCAAACAGGA